rnacentral:tRNA from 1 species
CAUUAUGAAGCUAGUAAGCGUUAACCUUUUAAGUUAAAGACUAGGNCCUCAUAAUGA